AAGCCCUUCGGGGUGGAUUAGUGGCGAACGGGUGAGUAACACGUGGGCAAUCUGCCCUGCACUCUGGGACAAGCCCUGGAAACGGGGUCUAAUACCGGAUACGAGCCUCCCGGGCAUCUGGGAGGUUGGAAAGCUCCGGCGGUGCAGGAUGAGCCCGCGGCCUAUCAGCUUGUUGGUGAGGUAACGGCUCACCAAGGCGACGACGGGUAGCCGGCCUGAGAGGGCGACCGGCCACACUGGGACUGAGACACGGCCCAGACUCCUACGGGAGGCAGCAGUGGGGAAUAUUGCACAAUGGGCGAAAGCCUGAUGCAGCGACGCCGCGUGAGGGAUGACGGCCUUCGGGUUGUAAACCUCUUUCAGCAGGGAAGAAGCGAAAGUGACGGUACCUGCAGAAGAAGCGCCGGCUAACUACGUGCCAGCAGCCGCGGUAAUACGUAGGGCGCAAGCGUUGUCCGGAAUUAUUGGGCGUAAAGAGCUCGUAGGCGGCUUGUCGCGUCGAUUGUGAAAGCCCGGGGCUUAACUCCGGGUCUGCAGUCGAUACGGGCAGGCUAGAGUGUGGUAGGGGAGAUCGGAAUUCCUGGUGUAGCGGUGAAAUGCGCAGAUAUCAGGAGGAACACCGGUGGCGAAGGCGGAUCUCUGGGCCAUUACUGACGCUGAGGAGCGAAAGCGUGGGGAGCGAACAGGAUUAGAUACCCUGGUAGUCCACGCCGUAAACGGUGGGCACUAGGUGUUGGC
rnacentral:rRNA from 1 species